CUCAGGCCAGGAUGGUUCAGUCAGGCAGUGAAUUACGGAGCUCCUCAGGGGCUGGGAGAGCCGAGAGAGAGGCCAGAAGAUGAGGGGCCUCGGAUGAGCAUGUGUGAGCUUGUGCUAUCCUCCUCAGGACCUGCAGAGAGCAGUGGGUGGGGAGUCCUGAGCUUCUUCACAUGCGAGGGUGGGCGACACACAGCUAGAAGUGGCACAACUCAGACCCAAGGAUUCCGUUGUUUGCGUUCACAGCUAUCCAGAGGUAGUGUGACCUUCGGGCUGCAAGUGCAUCACGCUUGCCAGAGCUCUGUGACCUAAUGCAGCAGCCGCCAGUCACAUGUAGCAACUAAACACUCAAAAUAUGGCUAGUCCAACCAAAAUAUGUCACACUUGGAAAAUAUCUACUCUAUUUUCAGGAUAAAUAAACAUUUACAUUAUUA
rnacentral:lncRNA from 1 species